CUGAUGCGUUGUUGGGUAGGGGAGCGUUCUGUAAGCCUGCGAAGGUGGCCUGUGAGGGUUGCUGGAGGUAUCAGAAGUGCGAAUGCUGACAUAAGUAACGAUAAAGCGGGUGAAAAGCCCGCUCGCCGGAAGACCAAGGGUUCCUGUCCAACGUUAAUCGGGGCAGGGUGAGUCGACCCCUAAGGCGAGGCCGAAAGGCGUAGUCGAUGGGAAACGGGUUAAUAUUCCCGUACUUGGUGUUACUGCGAAGGGGGGACGGAGAAGGCUAUGUUGGCCGGGCGACGGUUGUCCCGGUUUAAGCGUGUAGGUGUGUGUUCCAGGUAAAUCCGGUUCACUUUAACACUGAGGCGUGAUGACGAGGCACUACGGUGCUGAAGCAACAAAUGCCCUGCUUCCAGGAAAAGCCUCUAAGCAUCAGGUAACAUCAAAUCGUACCCCAAACCGACACAGGUGGUCAGGUAGAGAAUACCAAGGCGCUUGAGAGAACUCGGGUGAAGGAACUAGGCAAAAUGGUGCCGUAACUUCGGGAGAAGGCACGCUGACACGUAGGUGAAGUGAUUUACUCA
rnacentral:rRNA from 1 species